CGGGACGUGGCGCAGCCUGGUAGCGCACUUGAAUGGGGUUCAAGGGGUCGGGGGUUCGAAUCCCCCCGUCCCGACCA
rnacentral:tRNA from 3 species